rnacentral:rRNA from 1 species
GACGAACGCUGGCGGCGUGCUUAACACAUGCAAGUCGAACGAAAAGAGGGAAAGAGCUUGCUCUUUCCGGAAUUGAGUGGCAAACGGGUGAGUAACACGUAAACAACCUGCCUUCAGGAUGGGGACAACAGACGGAAACGACUGCUAAUACCGAAUAAGUUCCAAGGGCCGCAUGGCCCAUGGAAGAAAAGGUGGCCUCUACCUGUAAGCUAUCGCCUGAAGAGGGGUUUGCGGCUGAUUAGCUGGUUGGAGGGGUAACGGCCCACCAAGGCGGCGAUCAGUAGCCGGUCUGAGAGGAUGAACGGCCACACUGGAACUGAGACACGGUCCAGACUCCUACGGGAGGCAGCAGUGGGGAAUCUUCCGCAAUGGGCGGAAGCCUGACGGAGCAACGCCGCGUGAGUGAUGACGGCCUUCGGGUUGUAAAACUCUGUGAUCCGGGACGAAAAGGCAGAGUGCGAAGAACAAACUGCAUUGACGGUACCGGAAAAGCAAGCCACGGCUAACUACGUG